GGAAUAUUGGUCAAUGGGGGCAACCCUGAACCAGCCAUGCCGCGUGCAGGAAGACGGCCUUCUGGGUUGUAAACUGCUUUUGUCAGGGAAUAAAACGCCCAUGCGUGGGAGAUUGAAGGUACCUGACGAAUAAGCCACGGCUAACUACGUGCCAGCAGCCGCGGUAAUACGUAGGUGGCGAGCGUUGUCCGGAUUUAUUGGGUUUAAAGGGUGCGUAGGCGGCCUUGUAAGUCAGUUCUGAAAUAUCCCGGCUUAACCGGGAGGGUGGGAUUGAUACUGCUUGGCUUGAGUGAAGUCGAGGUAGGCGGAAUUGACGGUGUAGCGGUGAAAUGCUUAGAUAUCGUCAAGAACACCGAUAGCGUAGGCAGCUUACUAGACUUUAACUGACGCUGAGGCACGAAAGUGUGGGGAUCAAACAG
rnacentral:rRNA from 1 species